GAGUUUGAUCCUGGCUCAGGAUGAACGCUGGCGGCGUGCUUAACACAUGCAAGUCGAACGAAACACCUUAUUUGAUUUUCUUCGGAACUGAAGAUUUGGUGAUUGAGUGGCGGACGGGUGAGUAACGCGUGGGUAACCUGCCCUGUACAGGGGGAUAACAGUCAGAAAUGACUGCUAAUACCGCAUAAGACCACAGCACCGCAUGGUGCAGGGGUAAAAACUCCGGUGGUACAGGAUGGACCCGCGUCUGAUUAGCUGGUUGGCAGGGUAACGGCCUACCAAGGCAACGAUCAGUAGCCGGUCUGAGAGGAUGAACGGCCACAUUGGAACUGAGACACGGUCCAAACUCCUACGGGAGGCAGCAGUGGGGAAUAUUGCACAAUGGGGGAAACCCUGAUGCAGCAACGCCGCGUGAGUGAAGAAGUAUUUCGGUAUGUAAAGCUCUAUCAGCAGGGAAGAUAAUGACGGUACCUGACUAAGAAGCUCCGGCUAAAUACGUGCCAGCCGCCGCGGUAAUUC
rnacentral:rRNA from 1 species